GUUGGGCAUUCAGGUUUAAUAGAAUGUGACCCACACGAUUAAAGUAAUUUUUAAGUAGUUCUCUAAGUUGAUCAUCAAGGUUCUCCUUUGCAAUCAUAGAACAACAAGAAAAGUAAAGAGUGUGAAUGUUUUCGGAAAAUAAUUCUAAAGGAAGAUUCAGUAUACUGUCCAGGAUUGUAGCAAUGACAGGCUGCCAUGCAGCAUGGUUACGCGUAUGUUUCUCAACAACCAAGGAAGCAUACAUAUCCAGCAUUUCGGCACAAACCGGAAAAAGAAGUUUAUGAAUUUUCUGAUCCGUUUCUGUUUUACCUAAAGGGUCUCUGGUUUUUAAUAAGCGGAAGAGCAAAGUGAUGUACAACAAUGCACUAGCCGUUUCUUGUCUCAAUAAAUUAGGGAGUUGCUUCAUAAAUCCAACGUUCAAAAGCGUAAUACGUAAAGAUUUGUCUUCAUUAAACUUGCGAGCAAACUGCCAUGAGUCGUAAAUAGCCACAGUUAUUUUCAAUACAUGUUCAUGGGGGAUAUGAUUAAAAACUUCCUCGUUAUCUAACAAUUCAGCAACAAUACUUAUUAAAAGUAGUUGAAGAAUACAUUUUCGAAUCAUUGAACGGAACUCCAUCUGUUUCUCAGGGGAAAUUGAGGAUGUCGAAAUUGAACGAGAAGUUUCCGGUAGAGAACCGCCUCGCUUAUGGCUCAAUUGAGUAUUUUCAUUUUCGGAGUAAACAGGGGCUCCUUGCCCAUUGGAAAAUGUUUCUAGAAGAAGAAGCUGAUGAGGGGUGGUUUCCUUGAAUAACUCAAUAAACAUAUCAGCGACCAGAUUCCAAUCUUUAACUUCAAACCUAUACGCAUUUCCAGAAAGUAGCUGCUGCAUACAAUUUGUUCCUAUGCGAGAAAGUGUAAUAUUAUCUCUACAAAUGCAAUUGCUAAAUAACCAUAGAUAACCUUUUAGCAAAUUGUGAAGUUUGUCAAAACGGCGUGUUAACAAAGUGACGAGACUUCGUAACGCUUCAACAAGAGUAGUAGAUUGCCAAGUCCUGAUCUCCUCAUCCCUUAACAUAACAGUCGCUUCAUCCGCUUCUGGUCCAAAUAUUGAGAAUAUCGGGAAUAUAAAUUUUCGUGAAACAACUUCCCAAGUUUCUUCAGUGAAAUCAUCAGACUCUUCUAAGAAUAUAUAAAAUAAGUUUUGAAGAGCUCUUGACCUUACUUCCAAGUCUUCAGCUGACAUUAUUAUAUCAUAAUAUGCAAAUAAAACUGGGAAAACAUAUUUAGAAAAUGUCUCAUUUACUGAAGGCUUGGAA